UACCACCGAUGCUGCCGUAAAUCCUUUGAAGCCCAUAAUCAGCCUUUUGCUCGCGCAAUAUGGCGAUUACUGCACCCUCGAACAUGGCGAACGUUGUUCCACCAAUAACACCUAAGAUAUAUCUACAGAAGACGAGGCGACCCGGCAAUGAAUUAUGAGAUACGGUACAGUAAUUACCACGAAUUGUCAGCGUUGUCGGAGCUGAAUGUUGGCCCAUUACAAAUGUAAUUGCAUAACUCGUGCAGCGUUGGACUUUGUUGGACGAGUCCGAGUGCUAAGUAUUCUCUUCCUGAAAGAUUCUAUUUCUCUUCGUUUUCCCCCAUCUUUUAUUUUUGUCAUUCUUUCAAUUUGGAAAAAAUUGAAUGAAAUAGAAAAAGUUUGCACGCGAGGUUCAAAAGUUUGAACGCAUAAUGGUUAUUAAAUAAUUGCGUUCAAACAAUGACUUGUCGUGGAAGCAUAUAGUGAUCGCGCAA